rnacentral:rRNA from 1 species
CUCAGUUCGGAUUGAAGGCUGAAAUUCGCCUUCAUGAAGCCGGAAUUGCUAGUAAUGGCAGGUCAGCAUACUGCCGUGAAUACGUUCCCGGGCCUUGUACACACCGCCCGUCACACCAUGAGAGUUGGGGAUACCCGAAGCCUGUGAGCUAACAGUAAUGAAGCAGCAGUCGAAGGUAGAAUCAAUGAUUGGGGUGAAGUCGUAACAAGGUAUC